rnacentral:rRNA from 1 species
GAGUAAUACCUAGGUAAUGUACCAUAAGGUGAGGGAUAACCGACCGAAAGGUUGGCUAAUACCACAUACGUUCUCUUGAGGUUCGCCGAUGGAGAAGAAAGCGGGGCAACUCGCGCCUUUUGAUCAGCCUGGGUCCCAUCAGCUAGUUGGUGAGGUAAUGGCUCACCAAGGCAACGACGGGUAGCUGGUCUGAGAGGAUGAUCAGUCAGACUGGAACUGAGAUACGGUCCAGACUCC